AUCAAGGUCAACAAAUAAUCUGAAACAAAAGGAUGAAGACAGAGGAAACUGUGGUAAAGAUUCGAAGCGAUUCUGACAUGCAAAAUCGAUCAUUUCACUUUGGUAGACUAAUCAAACUAUCGAAUAACUGAUUCCCUCUGAAAUUUGUCUCAGAAUAGCUGGAGUACGUAAUGAAGCUGUUAUAUUCGGUAAAAAGAAUGAUUUAGAGGAAUUGCGGGACGAAAC
rnacentral:ncRNA from 1 species